GAGGGUAUAGCUCAAGUGGUAGAGUGCAUGCUUAGCAUGCACGAGGUCCUGGGUUCAAUUCCCAGUACCUCCU
rnacentral:tRNA from 1 species